CAUGGAGUUUGAUCCUGGCUCAGAUUGAACGCUGGCGGAAUGCUUUACACAUGCAAGUCGAACGGUAGAGGGGGCAACCCCUCGAGAGUGGCGAACGGGUGAGUAAUAUAUCGGAACGUGCCCAGUCGUGGGGGAUAACGUAGCGAAAGUUACGCGUAAUACCGCAUACGAUCUAAGGAUGAAAGCGGGGGAUCGGCAAGACCUCGCGCGAUUGGAGCGGCCGAUAUCAGAUUAGGUAGUUGGUGGGGUUAAAGGCUCACCAAGCCAACGAUCUGUAGCUGGUCUGAGA
rnacentral:rRNA from 1 species